UGCGAGAUUUCUUUUCAGUCGUG
rnacentral:miRNA from 1 species